AAGUCGUAACAAGGUUUCCGUAGGUGAACCUGCGGAAGGAUCAUUACCGAAUUGUCAACAAGAGUUGUUGCUGGUCCUCAAAUGGGGGCAUGUGCACGCUCUGUUCACACAUCCACUCACACCCUGUGCACUCUCUGUAGUUCUAUGGUCAGGGGUCCUGUCCUCCUGCUGUAGUUCUGCAUUUUACACACACACACUGUAACAAAGUCUCAUGGAAUGCAUGCCGCGUUUAACGCAAUACAAUACAACUUUCAGCAACGGAUCUCUUGGCUCUCGCAUCGAUGAAGAACGCAGCGAAAUGCGAUAAGUAAUGUGAAUUGCAGAAUUCAGUGAAUCAUCGAAUCUUUGAACGCACCUUGCGCCCUUUGGCCAUUCCGAAGGGCAUGCCUGUUUGAGUAUCAUGAACGCCUCAACUCUUUAUGGUUUUCCAUGAUGAGCUUGGACUUUGGGGGUUUUGCUGGCUUACGGUCGGCUCCUCUAAAAUAAAUCAGCUUACCAGUGUUUGGUGGGUAUCAUGGGUGUGAUAACUAUCUACGCUUGUGGUUUUUCCACCAGGUAACCUUCAGCAGUGGAGGUUCACUGGAGCUCAUAGACGUCUCUCCUCAGCGAGGACAGCC
rnacentral:rRNA from 1 species